UAACUACUCUUAGAGCUGCAUCCAUGUGAGAUUUCUUUGGCUGAUUUAGGAACUGACUUAAUGUUUGGGUGCUGAAGGCUAUAUCUGGCCUUGUCAUGUUGAGGUGUUCCUGCUGGCUUGGCUGCAGUCAUCCCUACUUCUGCUAUCAGAUCAAGUGUAUACUUCCUCUGAUGCAUAAGUAUUCCUGCUUUGGAUCUUGAAAAUUCAAUCCCCAAGAAGUAUUUGAGCUCCCCUAAGUCCUUCAUCUUGAAUGCACUUUGUAGAGCUUUCUUUGUCUCUUCUAUCAACUUUAGGCUGCUACCUGUGACCAACAUGUCAUCUACAUACACAAGCACAAUUACAAUACCUUCUGCUGACUUGUUGAUGAACAAGGAGUAAUCAUAUUGGCUUUGUUUGAACUUGAGGGAUGUAAGAGCUUCAGAAUGCAUUGAAGACAUCUAAUUGAUGAAUGGGCCAAUUUUUGGAUGCUGCAGUGGAAAGAAUGGCCCUGACAGUCACCAUCUUCACAACAGGGGAAAAGAUCCAUCUGCAACCAAUGGGCUUCUUCCCUGCAGCUUCAGCAUAGCUGGAAGGUUCUAUCACAGAGGAAGCUGCUGCAAUAAAAUGUUGAUGAGAAGGUGAGAGGUGAGAGUAGCUUACAUAGUUGGACAGAGGAUAUUGGACAUCCUGAUUAACAUUCAAGGAGACAAAAUCCUUCAUCCAUGUGGGAGGAUGUUUAGACCUGGCAGAUUUUCUAGUGAGAGGAGG